GAUGAACGCUGGCGGCGUGCUUAACACAUGCAAGUCGAACGGAGAAAGGGUAGCUUGCUAUCUUUUCUUAGUGGCGGACGGGUGAGUAACGCGUGGGUAACCUGCCCUUUGCAGGGGGAUAACAGUGAGAAAUCACUGCUAAUACCGCAUACCAACUUCUUUCGCAUGAAGGAAGUUUGAAAGAUUUAUCGGCAAAGGAUGGACCCGCGUUGGAUUAGCUAGUUGGUGAGAUAACAGCCCACCAAGGCAACGAUCCAUAGCCGGCCUGAGAGGGUGAACGGCCACACUGGGACUGAGACACGGCCCAGACUCCUACGGGAGGCAGCAGUGGGGAAUAUUGCACAAUGGGCGAAAGCCUGAUGCAGCGACGCCGCGUGAAGGAUGAAGGUCUUCGGAUUGUAAACUUCUAUCAGCAGGGAAGAAAGGGCUUAUAGCCUAUGACGGUACCUGACUAAGAAGCCCCGGCUAACUACGUGCCAGCAGCCGCGGUAAU
rnacentral:rRNA from 1 species